GACGAACGCUGGCGGCGUGCUUAACACAUGCAAGUCGAACGGGUCCGCUCUCUUUUUUGGGGGUGGGUUGAGUGGCGAACGGGUGAGUAUCACGUGAGUAACCUGCCCCCUGCUCCUGGAUAACUGCUUGAAAGGGCGGCUAAUACGGGGUGUGCCGGCUGGUCCGCAUGGGCCUGGUCGGGAUAGUUUCAUCUUCGGGUGUUUCGGUGGGGGAUGGGCUCGCGGCCUAUCAGCUUGUUGGUGGGGUGAUGGCCCACCAAGGCGGUGACGGGUAGCCGGCCUGAGAGGGUGGGCGGCCACACUGGGACUGAGACACGGCCCAGACUCCUGCGGGAGGCAGCAGUGGGGGGUAUUGCACAAUGGGCGGAAGCCUGAUGCAGCGACGUCGCGUGAGGGAUGGAGGCCUUCGGGUUGUGAACCUCUUUCUCCGGUGGUGAAGGCCCUGUCCGUUGCGGCGGGGUUGACGGUAGCCGGGUAUGAAGCGCCGGCUAACUACGUG
rnacentral:rRNA from 1 species